UACGUAGGCAGCAAGCGUUGUUCGGAAUUACUGGGCGUAAAGGGUGUGUAGGCGGUUGUUUAAGUUUGGUGUGAAAUCUCCCGGCUCAACUGGGAGGGUGCGCCGAAUACUGAAUGACUUCGAGUGCGGGAGAGGAGAGUGGAAUUCCUGGUGUAGCGGUGAAAUGCGUAGAUAUCAGGAGGAACACCGGUGGUGUAGACGGCUCUCUGGACCGUAACUGACGCUGAGACACGAAAGCGUGGGUAGCAAACAGG
rnacentral:rRNA from 1 species